rnacentral:tRNA from 1 species
UCGGAUAUGGUGUAAUGGCUAACAUUACCGCCUCUCAAGUGGUUCGCGGUAGCUCGGGGUUCGAUUCCCCGUAUCCGAA